rnacentral:pre_miRNA from 1 species
UAUAAGGGAUUUUGAGUUUUUGCUUGCAACGUUUGACCACUCGUCUUAUUCAAAUUUUUUUGAAAUUAUUAUUUAUUUUAUUUGUGACUUACUUUAUUAUUUACAAUACUUUAAACACAACUUUUCGUUUUUUAUAUUUGCAAAAAAAUUUUGAAUAAGACGAGAGGUCAAACGUUGCAAGAAAAAACUCAAAAUCUCUUAUA